rnacentral:rRNA from 1 species
GACGAACGUUGGCGGCGUGCCUAAUACAUGCAAGUCAACUGAAGCAAGGUAGCAAUAUCUUGUGGAGGUGGCGCACGGGUGAGUAACACGUAGGUAAUCUGCCUUCAGGUCUGACAUAACUCCGGGAAACCGGAGCUAAUAGCAGAUGAUGCAGCGGCUUGACAUCAAGACAGUUGUUAAAGCUUCGGCGCCUGAAGAUGAGCCUGCGUCUGAUUAGCUAGUUGGCGGAGUAAUAGCCCACCAAGGCGACGAUCAGUAACUGGUCUGAGAGGAUGAUCAGUCACACUGGAACUGAGACACGGUCCGGACUCCUACGGGAGGCAGCAGUGGGGAAUAUUGGACAAUGGGCGCAAGCCUGAUCCAGCAAUGCUGCGUGUGUGAAGAAGGCCUUCGGGUUGUAAAGCACUUUAGCCUGGAAAGAAAAAACUUUGGUUAACACCCAAAGUCUUGACGGUACCAGGAGAAUAAGCACCGGCUAACUCUGUGCCAGCCGCCGCGGUAACAC